rnacentral:rRNA from 1 species
GAUGAACGCUGGCGGCGUGCUUAACACAUGCAAGUCGAGCGAACAGACGCGGAGCUUGCUCCUCUGACGUUAGCGGCGGACGGGAGAGUAACACGUGGAUCACCUACCUAUAAGAAUGGGAUCACUACGGGAAACCGGAGCUAAUACCGGAUAAUAUAUUGAACCGCAUGGUUCAAUAGUAAAAGACGGCUUUCGUGUCUCUAAUAGAUGGAUCGGGGCCGCAUUAGCUAGUUGGUAAGGUAACGGCUUACCAAGGCAACGAAGCGUAGCCGACCUGAGAGGGUGAUCGGCCACACUGGAACUGAGACACGGUCCAGACUCCUACGGGAGGCAGCAGUAGGGAAUCUUCCGCAAAGGGCGAAAGCUUGACGGAGCAACGCCGCGUGAGUGAUGAAGGUCUUCGGAUCGUAAAACUCUGUUAGUAGGGAAGAACAAAUGUGUAAGUAACUAUGCACGUCUUGACGGUACCUAAUCAGAAAGCAACGGCUAACUACGUG